rnacentral:rRNA from 1 species
GACGAACGCUGGCGGCGUGCUUAACACAUGCAAGUCGAACGGAAAGGCCCUGCUUUUGUGGGGUGCUCGAGUGGCGAACGGGUGAGUAACACGUGAGUAACCUGCCCUUGACUUUGGGAUAACUUCAGGAAACUGGGGCUAAUACCGGAUAGGAGCUCCUGCUGCAUGGUGGGGGUUGGAAAGUUUCGGCGGUUGGGGAUGGACUCGCGGCUUAUCAGCUUGUUGGUGGGGGAGUGGCUUACCAAGGCUUUGACGGGUAGCCGGCCUGAGAGGGUGACCGGCCACAUUGGGACUGAGAGACGGACCAGACUCCUACGGGAGGCAGUAGUGGGGAAUAUUGCACAAUGGGCGGAAGCCUGAUGCAGCAACGCCGCGGGCGGGAUGACGGCCUUCGGGGUGUAAACCGCUUUCGCCUGUGACGAAGCGUGAGUGACGGUAAUGGGUAAAGAAGCACCGGCUAACUACGUG